CGCAUGAAUUUUGAGUGACUGAGGGCUAAAAAUCCCUAAAUGUGUAAGUUUGAAAUGCUGCCCCUGGUCCCUGCCGCAGAUCUCUAAUGGCUUCCUCCUCUUCUUCCCUCUCCCUCUCCUCCCACUUCAGUGUUACCAAAUGGAUUGUGUUUCCAUGGAAGUGAUGGAGGAGACCCGAACUCCCAGCUGAGUCUUGAACAAGGACCUAGUGGCAGCUGUUCUCAAGGAAGCCUGACCUGGUCCCACUUUGAUCCCUCCUCAUCUGAGGAACCUUAAGUUUGGCAAAAUGGGACUUAGACUGGAGUCUAAGUUUGAGAAGAGUUCCAAGGAAGUGUUUGCUAUUCAGGAAAGAAGUGAAAAGGGUUGACUGAUGUCACAGAUCCUGCUGGUGUCCUGGCACCAAGUUUUCAUCUAGCCAUAUCUGCCCACCUACAGCAGCAAUGAGUGUUCUCUCCUAUUCAGUUGUUCCCAAGGGAUUGCUCUGGGUCAUAUGGAGAUAGGAGUACCUGGGAGUUACACCUCCUAGCCUGGGAGUCCAUCUCCCUGUCUCUCCAUGAAAUCAAGAUUAUGGUACAUUGCUGCUCUGUGCUCUUCAAGGGUCUAGGCUGGAGCCUGACUAUAGCUGGCUUUGCUCCCCUCCCCUGCAGUCCCACCCCCAACACACUCACAUGCAUACGUUUCUUUCCUUGUCUCCUUCUCUCCAAUUAAAAACCCACAAUAAACCAAGAGCUUCCAAGACUUC
ensembl:lncRNA